GAUGAAGAAAGUAGCGAAAUGCGAUACUUGGUGUGAAUUGCAGAAUCCCGCGAACCAUCGAGUCUUUGAACGCAAGUUGCGCCCGAGGCCGUCGGGCCGAGGGCACGCCUGCCUGGGCGUCUCGCAACGCGUCGCCCCCCGGCCCCCGCGCGCGCGGGCGUCCCGGGGCGGACACUGGCCCCCCGCGAGCGGCAGCUCGCGGCCGGCCCAAAAUCCGGUCGCCGGCGAGGGACGGCGCGACGAGCGGUGGAGCCUGACGCGCCGCGCCGCGCCCGUCGCCCCGACCGACCCCGAAUCACCGGCCGCGACCCCAGGUCAGGCGGGAUCACCCGCUGAAUUUAAGCAUA
rnacentral:rRNA from 1 species